rnacentral:lncRNA from 1 species
GCGGCCGCCCUAGCUCGCAGGCCUCUAAAUCUGCCCCUACCUAGAGGGUAGAUGUCAUAGACCCGUUAACCAUUCUUUUUAUUCAGGCUAGAGCCUAGAUGUAUGAUAAUUUUGGGACAUUCCCUCUAAUUCUAAAAAGAACCCUGCUCCCUGUCUCGAGUUGGGGACAGGGGCGCCACAUGGAGGAGCGCCUACCCCUGGCCGACUCCCUUCCAAUAGGGCCCAUGUCUUUCUCCCUGUCCCCAACCCAGGACAGGGAGAAUUAUUCUUCUGAAAAUUACAGAGUUCUUCCUUGUUGGAAUAAAAUUUUCAUUUUGUCAUUUUCUUUUAUUAUUAAAUACAAAACUAUAAUUAUUUUCUCAUUUAUCUUUCUCACAAAAUUAUUACGUUAAUAUAUUUAUCAAAAUUAACCAUUUAAUUUUUUUCUUAAAAAGAAAUAAGAUUAUUACAUUUUUAAUGUGUUUUUAUAAAAUAAGAAUAUCUUAAUCUUAAUAUAGUAUGGGGUGACAAAAUGACUCGCCUCCAGAACAACUCGCAUUUAACCCAUCCCAAACAGGUCCAAUUAUGAAAUUUUUUUAUUUAAAUUUAAAUUGCAUCCAAAAAUGUAUAAUUAAAAAAUUAAAUAAAUAAGUUAACGGAGAUAUAAGAAUGGAAACGAGGCUGGACACAGAGCCAUCACUUUCCCUAGAAGAAUUUUUGGGAGGUGGGAUGGGCCGGGAAUUUAAAUAUAUCUAAUUAUCACCCUGUUUGAU